GGCAAACAGCUGGGAGAGUCCUUGUUCUAGCUGCCAUCAGCUGUGGGAACGGGGAAAGGAAAAUGCCUGCUGCUGGGGAGCGUGAGCGGAGGGGUUCAGAGAGCUGUGCUGGCCACAGGCUGGGUACGCAUUAUGGCAUUUGAAAGGAAAUGGCUUCCACGUGUCUUUGGUUCAAGGAGAGUAUUCAAAGGUCACGAUGUGCAGUAGAGGGACUUCCAAACAAUUUUUCAAGGCAUGACUUCAGUAAGAAAUGUAAGCCUGAGCCUGAACACAAGCAUUGUGUUGUUGGGUUGUUCCACUUGAUGAGCCUUUACAGCCUAGAAGAGAUGAGCUGAGUCAGACAGCUGACGCCGCGAUUCAGCCCUCACCCAGGCUGGAACGCUGCGGGGAGAGGGCAGGAAGACAACCACCAGGUUGCCCCAAAGUUUAUAUGAGCGGACCAGAAAACUGCGCUCUCUUCAGAAAAGGAGUCAAUGGUGCAUCCAGGAGAGCUGUGGGAGUACAGAUGUUAUCAGCAGCGGGAAGAAGAAAGGAAUUGCCUGUCAAGCGGAGUGGGAAUGCCAGGACAGUCGGCAAUGCAGACUGCUGCGCUCUGCUGCAUGCAUAAUGAAACUGCCAGCCAGCACAAGGAUUUGCCGUCAAGCCAUCGCCCACCCCUAGCAGAAGGGUGCAAGCAGAGAAACGCUGGGAUGAUCCGGCCAGUAUCUCUCCAGUGGUGCUGCAGAAGCUGUGGGAUCAGGUUUAAACCCUCUGAAGGUUUGGCACAGCUGUUGGUAACCGUGGCUACUGGGCACGUUUUUUACGAUCUCAUCACUCAGCUUGGUGGUACUCCUUUACCACAAAGUAUUCUGAAGGUGCCUGGGGUAAAUAUAGCCCUCUGUACUUAAGGGAGCACCUCCUAUCCCAGCUGGGGCAAUGAAAAAGGUCCGCAGCCUCCAUCCUUCCCUGGCUCCUGGAGCUCCCAAGCUAGGUCCUGUUAGACCCUGCUGAGAUGUCCCAGACCAGAAACAAAAGGAGCUCAAGACCCUCAAUAUCACACAAGUGGGAAGGGUCAGUCUCUGCCAGGAGUGCUUUCUUUCACUUUUCAGAAUGCUUAAACGUAUAUAAGAGCUUUCCAGCACUAUAAUUGCAUCAAGAUGAAUUUCUUUUUGUUCUAGGCUGAAGGAAUCAUCUGAAACUUCCCUCAGGAGCCCCCGCGAACAGAUACAACCGUAAUCUCUUCUGGCCAUGGCACUUGUUUGGUGGAAGGAGCCCCCUGCUAGAACACCUCUCCAGAGCAGAAGACAUCUCUCAUUAUGGAGAGUAUCAUAGAUGGUGUGUGAAGAGGGCAAAGAAGAUAUCAUUUUAGCACUAUGGCAAUGGUUCACUCCAGAUCAUCAAAGAAGCCAUUUGGAUCAGAACAAAUCGGCACACAAGGGAAAGAGGAUGAAGGAAGGAAAAUUACAGGAUGUAUGGAUUCCUGGUUCAUCAAACAACAGGCCACAGUUUUAAUCAGGGCCCUUUUACGGCUGGAGCAGUAAUGAAACAGAAGGACUGGGGAUGUCUCAGGAGAAGG